UUUCAUAACCGACUCCCCCCAAACCAAGACCUAUAGGGAGUAUAAAUUACGUCUUUAAUACCUGCCUCUGAGGGUGAGACAGGAAUAAUUUAUUAG
rfam:Synechococcus phage ACG-2014d isolate Syn7803TS82, complete genome.